GGUUUGAUCCGGCUCAGAUUGAACGCUGGCGGGAUGCUUUACACAUGCAAGUCGAACGACAGCACGGACUUCGGUCUGGUGGCGAGUGGCGAACGGGUGAGUAAUGUAUCGGAACGUGCCUAGUAGCGGGGAUAACUACGCGAAAGGUAGCUAAUAUCGCAUACCCUUCGGGGGAGUGGGGACCUUCGGGUCGCACUAGAGCGGCCGAUAUCGGAUUAGCCAGCUGGUGGGGCAACGGCUCACCAAGGCGACGAUCCGCAGCUGGUUUGAGAGGACGACCAGCCACUGAUCAGAGACACGGCCCAGACUCUACGGGAGGCAGCAGUGGGGAAUUCUUGGAUACUGGGAAACCCUGAUCCAGCCAUCCGCGAUGAAGGCCUUCGAAGGAAGACUUUUGGCAGGAAAAGAAACGGCACGGAUAAUACCUGUGCAACUGACGGUACCUGCAGAAUAAGCACCGGCUAACUACGUGCCAGCAGCCGCGGUAAUACGUAGGGUGCAAGCGUUAAUCGGAAUUACUGGGCGCUAGCGUGCGGCAGGAAGGGUUCGGAAAGAAAGACGUAAAUCCCAGAGCUUAACUUCGGGAACUGCAUUUUUAACUACCGAGCUGGGAGCACAGAGGGAGGUGGAAUUCCGCGUGUAGCAGUGAAAUGCAGAUAUGCGGAGGAACACCGACGGCGAAGGCAGCCUCCUGGAUAACACUGACGCUCAUGCACGAAAAAGGCGGGAGCAAACAGGAUUAGAUACCCCAGUCCACGCUCUAAACGAUGUCAACUAGCUUUCGUUGGGCUUCCGGCCUUGGUAGCAGCUAACGCGUGAAGUUGACUGCCUGGGGAGUAUGGUCAAGAUUAAACUCAAAGCGGAAUUGACGGGGACCCGCGCAAGCGGUGGAUGAUGGGAUUGUCUGAUGCAAUGCCGAAAAACCUUACCUACCCUGAUACGUCUGGAAUCCCGAAGAGAUUUGGGGAGUGUUUGCAAGAGAACCGGGAAACACAGGUGCUGCAUGGCUGUCGUCAGCUCGUGUCGUGAGAUGUUGGGUUAAGUCCUGCAACGAGUGCAACCCUUUGUCAUUAGUUGCUACGAAAGGCACUCUACUGAGAUCAAGCCGGUGACAAACCGGAGGAAGGUGGAUGACGUCAAGUCCUCAUGGCCCUUAUGGGUAGGGCUUCACACGUCAUGGUAAUCGCCGGGAUGAGGCCAACCAUGAGUGGGAGCCAAUCCCAGAAAACCCGAUCGUAGUCCGAUCGCAGUCUGCAACUCGACUGCGUGAAGUCGGAAUCGCUAGUAAUCGCGGACGGGGCAUGUCGCGGGUGAAUACGUUCCCGGAUUCGCAAAGGACAACUGGCCCGUCACACCAUGGGAGUGGGUUUUACCAGAGAAGAGGCUCAAUCGUGUGAGGGGCGAUUACCACGGUAGGAUUCAUGACUGGGGUGAAGUCGUAACAAGGUGGU
rnacentral:rRNA from 1 species